GUCUGCGACUGACAGUGCCGCGUCUGAUACAGACAGUGUCUCGGAACUGUCGGACAGCUGUGAUUCAGAGACGUAUGACACAGUUGAUUCGCCGUUCUUGUUCGACCCGCCGCCACGACGGCCAGUCGCCGAACGUCAAGCCCUGGCGUUGCAGUAUCGCGACGAGGGGUGCACUUGUGGCGAAUGUCGGCCUGCGCACAGGGAUGAAAAUGUGUGUUGCCGCCAGGUCCCGGCUGUUCGGGGCCUAAUGAAUGGACUGGGCAGCAACUGUAUCACGCACCACACGCUUUUCCCACUCCUUUGCUUGGUCGGCGAUUUAUUGGAAAUAAACAGGCGGCAACUGGAGUUCUACAACCCCACUUAUCUCGAGCACGCCGACAGGAAUAGAGCUCUGAGAUACACCGCCUACCGUUUGUUUGUUUGGUGGGUCUGGGGCCGCCUUGGCAGAGGAAAUCGCCAACCCCUGCCCGGUUGUGUGCUGCACAGGAUAAGGAGCACAUUCCCAUCAGCUAAUUAUGAGCUGUUUUCCUGGGUGUAGCUUCAAGGCAUCUCACAGAAAGUUGCUGCAGGAGAAGCUGAAGUGUUCACCUUCACGAAUUUGAAGCCAGGCAAAGUGCAAUAUUUGUGCAGUGUUAACAAUAAAAGUUGAUGUACUAGCAGUUGCAUUACACAUCACUCUGGUUGCUAUUACAGCAAGACAAUUUUCAACCCUUUGAGGUCUGUUGUACAGCACUGCUGGACAAGCUGUUUCGGUUUAGAUUCACGCAACUUUUUGCAAUAUUUGAGCAUGAACUGAGGUGUGGUAAGCACAAAAUAAAUCGUAAACAGAAAUUGAAUUGAUGGCGCAAAUGCUGGGACAGGGACCAAGAACACGGGACGUGGACAAGUGUGCUCCGCGUCCUGUGACGUGGAGUGUGCUUCUCUGUAUCCUUGUUCUUCGUCCUAGUCCAAGCAUUUGCGCCAUCAAUUGAACUUCAGCCAUGUACCAAC
rnacentral:lncRNA from 1 species